CAAGCCCUGGAAACGGGGUCUAAUACCGGAUACGAUCACCGGCCGCAUGGUCUGGUGGUGGAAAGCUCCGGCGGUGCAGGAUGAGCCCGCGGCCUAUCAGCUUGUUGGUGGGGUGAUGGCCUACCAAGGCGACGACGGGUAGCCGGCCUGAGAGGGCGACCGGCCACACUGGGACUGAGACACGGCCCAGACUCCUACGGGAGGCAGCAGUGGGGAAUAUUGCACAAUGGGCGAAAGCCUGAUGCAGCGACGCCGCGUGAGGGAUGACGGCCUUCGGGUUGUAAACCUCUUUCAGCAGGGAAGAAGCUUUCGGGUGACGGUACCUGCAGAAGAAGCACCGGCUAACUACGAGCCAGCAGCCGCGGUAAUACGUAGGGUGCGAGCGUUGUCCGGAAUUAUUGGGCGUAAAGAGCUCGUAGGCGGCGUGUCACGUCGGAUGUGAAAGCCCGGGGCUUAACCCCGGGUCUGCAUUCGAUACGGGCAGGCUAGAGUUCGGUAGGGGAGAUCGGAAUUCCUGGUGC
rnacentral:rRNA from 1 species